AUUAUGCUUUCAGUUUGAAUAGAAAUCUUAUACAGUACAGUUUGUCGAUCUAAAAUGGUAAUUGUGCAUUAACAGCUGUCAACCAUGAUCCGCCUUUGAAUAUGCGCACAGAAUGGCUAGCAGAUGCAUCGCUAGAAGACACAGAGAGAGAAAGCCCUAUAAAAGGUUCCCUGUUAAAGGGAGGCUUGUUGCUACUCCAGAUUCUCAGACUGACUAUUACAUCCAGAUGCUGAAACCCAUCAUAACAAUGGGGGAUUGUGGGCCACCAUACUGACAUUGCCUGGUGUGCUAAGGUUCUCUUCCUGGCGGAUGAAUGAAGCUUUAGGGGUGUCAAACUCAGUUCCUGGAGGGCCACAGCCUUGCAGAAUUUAGUUCAGAGUUGGCUAAUGUCGGUCCUGAGAGUUCAGCUCCAACCAUAAUCAAACGCACUGAAAAAGCAAUCUCAACAAUGGACUCGUUUCCUUCCUGUUUGGUGUCUCCUGUGCUUGCUGUUUCUGUUUGGAGGUCAUUGCAUGUGUCUGAUUGAGCAACUGUCACUGUGCAUUUCUGUUUGCAGUGCUUUGCUUAAAUCUUGGACCUUUAGCAAUAAUAAAAGUCUUUGGAGUUUUCCAUUUG